rnacentral:tRNA from 1 species
ACUAUUUUGGCAGAUUUAAUGCAAUAAAUUUAGAAUUUAUUUAAGUAAGAUAUUUUACAUAUAGUA